CCUACGGGUGGCAGCAGUGGGGAAUUUUGGACAAUGGGCGCAAGCCUGAUCCAGCUAUUCCGCGUGUGGGAUGACGGCCCUCGGGUUGUAAACCACUUUAGUAGGGAACGAAAAGGGGCUAUCUAAUAAAUAGCCCCGCUGACGGUACACUAAGAAGAAACACCGGCUAACUACGUUCCAGCAGCCGCGGUAAUACGGAGGGUGCGAGCGUUAAUCGGAAUUACUGGGCGUAAAGGGUGUGCAGGCGGCUUGGUAAGACAGAUGUGAAAUCCCCGGGCUUAACCUGGGAACCGCAUAUGUGACUGCUUGGCUAGAGUGCGUCAGAGGGAGGUAGAAUUCCAGGUGUAGCAGUGAAAUGCGUAGAGAUGUGGAAGAACACCGAUGGCGAAGGCAGCCUCCUGGGACGCAACUGACGCUCAUACACGAAAGCGUGGGGAGCAAACAGGAUUAGAUACCCGAGUAGUC
rnacentral:rRNA from 1 species